AAUAUUCAACCUUUAUCUCUGUUUCAGGGAAUUAAAGGCUUGGACUUUGGAGGUUACUGCUGGCAGACAUAGACCGUCAGCUCCUCUUAAAAGGAUUAGCAGGGUCCCUUUUAACCGAUCCUUGAUGUGAUAAGGUUUCUCCUACAUCUAACGGGAUUCGGCUUUGCAAGGCCUGCUUACAAUCUCUUAAUGAACC
rnacentral:misc_RNA from 1 species